GCGUACUUCCACAUAUCCACUCAGAGGAAGG
rnacentral:sRNA from 1 species